UGCUUUGCUUGUCAAGGUCAGGCCCAGA
rnacentral:piRNA from 1 species